CCUACGGGAGGCAGCAGUGGGGAAUCUUGCGCAAUGGGCGAAAGCCUGACGCAGCCAUGCCGCGUGAAUGAUGAAGGUCUUAGGAUUGUAAAAUUCUUUCACCGGGGACGAUAAUGACGGUACCCGGAGAAGAAGCCCCGGCUAACUUCGUGCCAGCAGCCGCGGUAAUACGAAGGGGGCUAGCGUUGCUCGGAAUUACUGGGCGUAAAGGGAGCGUAGGCGGAUAGUUUAGUCAGAGGUGAAAGCCCAGGGCUCAACCUUGGAAUUGCCUUUGAUACUGGCUAUCUUGAGUGUGGGAGAGGUUAGCGGAACUCCGAGUGUAGAGGUGAAAUUCGUAGAUAUUCGGAAGAACACCAGUGGCGAAGGCGGCUAACUGGCCCAUUACUGACGCUGAGGCUCGAAAGCGUGGGGAGCAAACAGGAUUAGAUACCCUGGUAGUCCACGCCGUAAACGAUGAGUGCUAGUUGUCGGCAUGCAUGCAUGUCGGUGACGCAGCUAACGCAUUAAGCACUCCGCCUGGGGAGUACGGUCGCAAGAUUAAAACUCAAAAUGAAUUGACGG
rnacentral:rRNA from 1 species